rnacentral:rRNA from 1 species
CCUACGGGAGGCUGCAGUGGGGAAUAUUGGUCAAUGGACGAAAGUCUGAACCAGCGACGUAGCGUGAAGGAUGACUGCCCUCUGAGUUGUAACCUUCUUUUAUAAAGGAAUACAACGAGUCACCUGUGCCUUUUUGCAUUUACUUUAUCAAUAAGGAUCGGCUAACUCCGUGCCAGCAGCCGCGGUAAUACGGAGGAUCCGAGCGUUAUCCGGAUGUAUUGGGUUUAACGGGAGCGUAGAUGGGUUGUUAAGUCAGUUGUGAAAGUUUGCGGCUCAACCGGAAAAUUGCAAUUGAUACUGGCAGUCUUGAGUAUAGUUGAGGUAGGUGGAAUUCGUGGUGUAGAGGUGAAAUGCUUAGAUAUCACGAAGAACCUCGAUGGCGAAGGCAGCUUACUA